CAUUUUGAUUAUUUGAAACUGUUAUCAUUAUUCUGAAUUUAUAUUAUUCUUGAAUCAUACUGAAAUCCAUUGCGGUAUAACUUUGAAUCCAUUAAUGUUAGUCUUACGUUGGUUUUCUGUCUUAUUCAGAUAAGAAUCCACCUAUAACCGCCUCCACUUGGUCUUCGACUCUGCCGUUUCUGUUUUUUUUUUGAGCUGAACUACUUGCUUCAUUAUUACGUUCUGUUGCCACCGGCAAUAUAUGUGCACGAGUUUCUCAUCGCACUUCGUGCUUUUCAUUACCUCCUGGCUUCGUACUGCGAACCUAUUCUCUUUUCGGAACUACAACAAUAAAAGUUUCAACGCUU